GUAGGGAAUAUUGGGCAAUGGUCGGAAGAUUGACCCAGCCAUGCCGCGUGCAGGAAGACGGCCCUCUGGGUUGUAAACUGCUUUUAUCUGGGAAGAAAAAGGCCAUGCGUGGCAAAUUGCCGGUACCAGAUGAAUAAGCACCGGCUAACUCCGUGCCAGCAGCCGCGGUAAUACGGAGGGUGCGAGCGUUGUGCGGAUUUAUUGGGUGUAAAGGGUGCGUAGGCGGCUGAUUAAGUCAGCGGUGAAAGACUUCGGCUUAACCGGAGCAGUGCCGUUGAUACUGGUUGGCUUGAGUGUCGGAGGGGUACAUGGAAUUGAUGGUGUAGCGGUGAAAUGCAUAGAUACCAUCAGGAACACCGAUAGCGAAGGCAUUGUACUGGCCGACAACUGACGCUGAUGCACGAAAGUGUGGGGAUCGAACAGGAUUAGAAACCCUGGUAGUCC
rnacentral:rRNA from 1 species